rnacentral:rRNA from 1 species
ACUGACAGCCAUGGUUACCGCGGCUGCUGGCACGGAGUUAGCCGGUGCUUCUUCUGCGAGUAACGUCACAGAUGUAAGGUAUUAACUUACACCCUUUCCUCCUCGCUGAAAGUGCUUUACAACCCGAAGGCCUUCUUCACACACGCGGCAUGGCUGCAUCAGGGUUUUCCCCCAUUGUGCAAUAUUCCCCACUGCUGCCUCCCGUAGGAGUCUGGGCCGUGUCUCAGUCCCAGUGUGGCUGAUCAUCCUCUCAGACCAGCUAGGGAUCGUCGCCUAGGUGAGCCUUUACCUCACCUACUAGCUAAUCCCACCUGGGCUUAUCCAUCAGCGCAAGGCCCGAAGGUCCCCUGCUUUCCCCCGUAGGGCGUAUGCGGUAUUAGCAGUCGUUUCCCAACUGUUAUCCCCCA